rnacentral:rRNA from 1 species
CCUACGGGUGGCAGCAGUGAGGAAUAUUGGUCAAUGGCCGUAAGGCUGAACCAGCCAAGUCGCGUGAAGGAAGAAGGAUCUAUGGUUUGUAAACUUCUUUUAUAGGGGAAUAAAGGUAUCCACGUGUGGAUAUUUGCAUGUACCCUAUGAAUAAGCAUCGGCUAACUCCGUGCCAGCAGCCGCGGUAAUACGGAGGAUGCGAGCGUUAUCCGGAUUUAUUGGGUUUAAAGGGUGCGUAGGUUGUUUUUUAAGUCAGCGGGUAAAGUUUGUGGCUCAACCAUAAAAUUGCCGUUGAAACUGGAAGACUUGAGGGUGUUGGAGGUAAGCGGAAGGCGUGGGGUAGCGGUGCAAUGUAUAGAUAUCAAGCAGAACUCAGAUUGCGAAGGCAGCUGAAUAAGCCAUAACUGACACUGAAGUACGAAAGCGUGGGGAUCAAACAGGAUUAGAUACCCUUGUAGUC